rnacentral:rRNA from 1 species
GAUGAACGCUAGCGAUAGGCUUAACACAUGCAAGUCGAGGGGCAGCACAAGGUAGCUUGCUAUCUGGGUGGCGACCGGCGCACGGGUGCGUAACGCGUAUGCAACUUGCCCUAUACAGGAGGAUAACCCGUCGAAAGACGGACUAAUACUGCGUAUGCUCACAACUUGGCAUCAAGUAGUGAGGAAAGAAAUUCGGUAUAGGAUAGGCAUGCGUCCCAUCAGCUUGUUGGUGAGGUAACGGCUCACCAAGGCAACGAUGGGUAGGGAAACUGAGAGGUUUAUCCCCCACACUGGUACUGAGACACGGACCAGACUCCUACGGGAGGCAGCAGUGAGGAAUAUUGGUCAAUGGGCGAGAGCCUGAACCAGCCAAGUCGCGUGAAGGAUGACUGUCUUAUGGAUUGUAAACUUCUUUUAUACGGGAAUAACAAGAGUCACGUGUGACUCCCUGCAUGUACCGUAUGAAUAAGC